ACUGUAUUUCUUUCUCUCUUGUAGACAUGAGGAAGACCAUCCCAUCGAGGAGAGGAUGAGGAAGGCUGGGCUAAACCCAGAGAAAUACAGCAAGGAAUUUAUAGAGAAAAUGGAAAAAAUCUUGGCCAAUCCAACAGUGGCAUCAAACGCCUGAGGAGGGUUCUUUACCCCCAUCUCAGAUACUCGGAGCCAGAGCCAGAGCCAGAGCCCGAAGUUUCUUGGCAAAUGUCCCGGAGGAUAUCUUUCAGCAAGAAAAACAAACUACACCCUCUUCCUACAAGAACUGCUUUAAAACCAGAAGAGCCAAAGAUAGAGGCGAAGGUAGAAGCUGCAUCUAAAGAGGCAAGGCGGGUGAAGGCCCUUCAAGAAAAAUUUGAUCUGUAUUUACCGGGCAGAAUUGCACAAGAACGUGAAGACGUAAACCUAGACUAUUUCAAGAAGCAAGAGGACAUCCAAGGAAAGAAAACCUCUAAAAGUAGUCAUCGCAUAUCAAAUCUUAGGAAGCAACAUCUCCAUGAGGUUCUCCAGUCAGUAAAUAACGAAGANCAAGUGAAGACACUGCAUAUGUUUUGAUUCCUUGCAUGUAGUCCAAUACAGAAAAAAUGUGUUCU
rnacentral:lncRNA from 1 species